AAAAUAAAAUGAUCCGCUCGUUAUCCGGGUUUGCCGCGCGCGGCCGUCCGGACCCCCCGCUGCAUUUUCACUCCGCGCUGACUGAGAAAAGAAAGAGAAGAGAAGAGAAGAGCGGCUAACGGAGCGCUCCGGAGAGCCGGCCCUGGGUUCGAGAGAAUGACGAGGGUCUGUGUGUCUCUUCACGCCCGGGAGUUGCAGAGACACGACAACACGUCGACAGCGGGCGGACACAAAAGGAAGGAAAGCGGUCAAAAUCCUCUCAAACACAUUGAUUGAUUCCUCCAGUUCACACAGGACUGCGGUCCGCUGCCAUGUCUUCUGCAGCCAGUAGCGAAAGUUCUCGCGACGUCAGAGUCCACGAGCCUCGUUCGUCUGCAGAGCAGGAAAGGCGCUCACGCGGCCGCCACCCUCAUGAAUCCACCGCUCCUUGCAACUAAUAAACAACACGGCGAGCUGCUCGGAGAAGAGCGGGUCCGAGCGCGCUUGGCACGUCGGGUAACGUAGUCCGACAUCCGCAGGAAGUACGAAGGCAAAACGGAACGGCAAUCUGGAAAGAACUACAAAUCCCAAUUCAGAUGAGAGCACCACCCACGUGUUGCCUUGAAAUGUGCCGUCUUCCGGGUAGGUGGUGCCCCAGCCAGUAUUUCACGAUGAGCCGCUCCAGAUCAAAUACAGAAGGAAUAAUCGAUUUUCUGUAAUGGGCAGAACGCCUUUUGGGAUUAAUUCUAGUCUAUGCAGAAAAGCACUUCAGAAAUGAGACGCAUCUCUCAGCGCGAGACCGGAAGCGGGCAGCGUCGGCGGUCACGUGGGCGGCUGGCGCGCGCCUUCGCGAGCAGUGCGUGGCUCUGCUGUGACGCUGACGGUCGCCCAGGUAACCAACCCCUCCCUCCCUCAGCCGUCCACGUGGUCCGCGUUUCGCAGCGCUGCGCGUCAGCAGAGGAAGUGCCAGUUUGUCCACAGAGGAUGAGCGUUAUGGGGUGGGGGGCCUCCCAGGAAAGGGUAUUUUUAGACAACGUGCUGCCCACAACAACCAAAAGACAAUCCUUAUUUGGAGCGAGUGCAUUUCAUAUUACCACCAAUUUGAGGUGAAGAUCUUUCCCCUCACACUUCCUUCCCCAAAGUAGGAGUGCUGGCAGAAGAGAAGGUACUUGGUCAUCAGAGAUGCACACAAAGAGACAAGUGAACAAAGGUCCCCUGGAGUUGAGUCUUACAGGGUAAAAUGGGUUCUCUCCUGUACUUGGGACGCGUUACCUGCGCAGAUGCCACCUGUCCUGGAGUUGUGGCCGAGGCUCCACAUGAAGGCAGCCACAUGGAGGAGUUCCACUAGGUGGCAGGUGCUUCAGAUCUUCUGGGUCCUAUUAAAGCACAGCUUAUCUGAUAACAAUACUUGUACUCCUGGGCUGCUCCUGAAUGACAACAGUGCUGGUGCUUGAAGGCCCUCAUCUCUGAAGACCUCUCCCCUUUACUCAUUAGGAUGAGUCUAAAUGCUGCUGAUGUUCCUUUGCUGACACUGUUAAAAUUUUGUCUGUGUUUAAAAAAAAAGGUGUAAAACGCUAUAGAACAGUUGGUACCCGAGUGGUAAGUUGCAGGUUUGAUUCCUACCUCUGGCUAUAGUACCCUUGAGCAGGGUACUUCACAUUGCUCCAGAAAGAAAAAAAAAAAAAAAAAAGUGGCAUAUAAAUGGGUAAAUAACUAUAAAGUACCUUAACACUGCAAGUCACUUUGGAGAAAAGUGUGAGCUAUGAAAAUGAAAGAUGCAGUUUGAGGAACAGCAUCUGGACAGAAACUUUCUCUAACUGCUCUUACAUCCAGGCAGAUCCCCUAAAGAUCUUGUGGUUCAGCUGCUAAUUCCUUUUCAUUUCCACAGUUAUCAGCUGCUCCCUGGGCCCAUUCAGUUACAUAAUGAGUUCGUAAUCGAUGGAAGUAAAUGUUUUGCAUGUAACAGAGUCGUAAAUCACUGUGGAAUGACAAUAGCUGCAUUUAGUGGUGACUGAAAAAUUCAGGCUGAAAGGUCACAUGGGUUCUUCACUAAACUCAUUUCCUCCAAAGACACCAGGGUUUGUUUAAAGAAAUGGGUUGGUAUAUUAGUUCCAGAACAGCACGGAACACGUCGAGCAGCGGACCUGGGCCGCUUCCAGCGACAACGUCAGACGGCCGUGAAAAAGGCCUUACCCUUGGACAAGCUCCUCUGGAAGGAGGUUGAUGCUCAGCAAAACCAUUUAGCAUCAGAGGAGUGGAACAGCGUCCCGUGAUGUUCCCCAAACAGAAUUAGGAAGGUUUGCUCUUAGAGGCCCACUUUCAUUCAUUCAUUCAUUCAUAAAUGGUAAAAUAUGAAAGUGAAGGUCAUUGUGGUCUGAGCUUGUAAAGAGGGAUCCUCACACACUUCCCUACGACUGGGGUUCUCGGAGUCGUCAUCCCCGUCUUGCAUGGCCACUUGACUGUGUUUUACACUGUUCCGAUGGAACAGACGGAAAAAAUCCCCCCAGCGCUGCAAGUUCUUCAGAAAAGCUCCCACACCCCGAGGAGAGCGAGGAACGGCGAACCGCCCUACUGACGCCAUGCUUCGGUGUCACCCGGAGCCGAGCUCCCCCCACCAGCGUACACGACGGUCAAAGGUCGAACCAGAGAGGCUGCAGUCUCUGCCACGUUCCCACCCUUAGCCCAAAGGACUUACCACGGAAAGACUCAUUUUCGUAAGUAUCUCGUUCCCUAAAACAAUUUUGCUCUUUCUUUAUAUACAUGAGCAGAAGCAAAUACUUACCCUGCUAUGUGCAGACAAAGCAACCAAAUCCAUCCAUCACAGUGCUUAACAAGAUUUAAUGUACAUUUAUUCUUAACAUGUGGAACAUAUAGUAUAAAGAUUUAUACCCAAUAAAUGAUAUUUCAUUGUAUGAGAGGAAAAUGAU
rnacentral:lncRNA from 1 species